rnacentral:rRNA from 23 species
ACGGGUGAGUAAUGCCUAGGAAUCUGCCUGGUAGUGGGGGAUAACGCUCGGAAACGGACGCUAAUACCGCAUACGUCCUACGGGAGAAAGCAGGGGACCUUCGGGCCUUGCGCUAUCAGAUGAGCCUAGGUCGGAUUAGCUAGUUGGUGAGGUAAUGGCUCACCAAGGCGACGAUCCGUAACUGGUCUGAGAGGAUGAUCAGUCACACUGGAACUGAGACACGGUCCAGACUCCUACGGGAGGCAGCAGUGGGGAAUAUUGGACAAUGGGCGAAAGCCUGAUCCAGCCAUGCCGCGUGUGUGAAGAAGGUCUUCGGAUUGUAAAGCACUUUAAGUUGGGAGGAAGGGCAGUAACCUAAUACGUUAUUGUUUUGACGUUACCGACAGAAUAAGCACCGGCUAACUCUGUGCCAGCAGCCGCGGUAAUACAGAGGGUGCAAGCGUUAAUCGGAAUUACUGGGCGUAAAGCGCGCGUAGGUGGUUUGUUAAGUUGAAUGUGAAAUCCCCGGGCUCAACCUGGGAACUGCAUCCAAAACUGGCAAGCUAGAGUAGGGCAGAGGGUGGUGGAAUUUCCUGUGUAGCGGUG